UUAGAGGAUUUGAAUACUUCAACUUGUAAACUCAAAGAAUUUAAAGACUUCAACUUGCAUACUUGGCUAAAUUUAAAGACUUUAAGU
rfam:Solanum tuberosum cultivar DM 1-3 516 R44 scf00006_213, whole genome shotgun sequence.